UGGGGAAUAUUGCACAAUGGGCGCAAGCCUGAUGCAGCCAUGCCGCGUGUAUGAAGAAGGCCUUCGGGUUGUAAAGUACUUUCAGCGGGGAGGAAGGCGAUAAGGUUAAUAACCUUGUCGAUUGACGUUACCCGCAGAAGAAGCACCGGCUAACUCCGUGCCAGCAGCCGCGGUAAUACGGAGGGGGCAAGCGUUAAUCGGAAUUACUGGGCGUAAAGCGCACGCAGGCGGUCAGUCAAGUCGGAUGUGAAAUCCCCGGGCUCAACCUGGGAACUGCAUUCGAAACUGGCAGGCUAGAGUCUUGUAGAGGGGGGUAGAAUUCCAGGUGUAGCGGUGAAAUGCGUAGAGAUCUGGAGGAAUACCGGUGGCGAAGGCGGCCCCCUGGACAAAGACUGACGCUCAGGUGCGAAAGCGUGGGGAGCAAACA
rnacentral:rRNA from 1 species